GACGAAGGUGGCGAGCGUUGUUCGGAAUCACUGGGCAUAAAGCGCACGUAGGCGGCGACGUAAGUUGGGUGUGAAAUCCCUCGGCCCAACCGAGGAACUGCGCCCAGUACUGCGUUGCUUGAGGAUCCAAGGGGUGCAUGGAAUCCCCGGUGGAGCGGUGAAAUGCGUUGAUAUCGGGAGGAACUCCGGCGGCGAAAGCGGUGCACUGGUGGAUUACUGACGCUGAGGUGCGAAAGCCAGGGGAGCAAACGGG
rnacentral:rRNA from 1 species